UACGUAGGGUGCAAGCGUUGUCCGGAAUUAUUGGGCGUAAAGAGCUCGUAGGCGGCUUGUCGCGUCUGCCGUGAAAACCCAGGGCUCAACUCUGGGCGUGCGGUGGGUACGGGUAGGCUAGAGUGCGGUAGGGGAGAUUGGAAUUCCUGGUGUAGCGGUGGAAUGCGCAGAUAUCAGGAGGAACACCGAUGGCGAAGGCAGAUCUCUGGGCCGUAACUGACGCUGAGGAGCGAAAGCAUGGGGAGCGAACAGG
rnacentral:rRNA from 1 species